CUGGGCGUAAAGCGCGCGUAGGUGGUUCAGCAAGUUGGAUGUGAAAUCCCCGGGCUCAACCUGGGAACUGCAUCCAAAACUACUGAGCUAGAGUACGGUAGAGGGUGGUGGAAUUUCCUGUGUAGCGGUGAAAUGCGUAGAUAUAGGAAGGAACACCAGUGGCGAAGGCGACCACCUGGACUGAUACUGACACUGAGGUGCGAAAGCGUGGGGAGC
rnacentral:rRNA from 1 species